AUACAGAGGGUGCGAGCGUUAAUGGGAAUUACUGGGCGUAAAGCGCGCGUAGGCGGCUUGGUCAGUCGGAUGUGAAAGCCCCGGGCUCAACCUGGGAAUUGCAUUCGAUACUGCCAGGCUAGAGUAUGGGAGAGGGAAGUGGAAUUUCCGGUGUAGCGGUGAAAUGCGUAGAUAUCGGAAAGAACACCAGUGGCGAAGGCGACUUCCUGGCCCAAUACUGACGCUGAGGUGCGAAAGCGUGGGGAGCGAACAGGAUUAGAAACCCUAGUAGUCC
rnacentral:rRNA from 1 species